GACGUAGGGUCCGAGCAUCAUCCGGAUUUAUUGGGCGUAAAGCGCAUGUAGGUGGUUACGUAAGUUUGUGGUUAAAGACCCCGGCUCAACCGGGGGAAUGCCUUGAAGACUGCGAAACUUGAGACCAGCAGGGGCAAUCAGAAUUCCCGGUGUAGGGGUGAAAUCCGUUGAUAUCGGGAGGAAUACCAGUGGCGAAGGCGGAUUGCUAGGUUGGAUCUGACACUGAGAUGCGAAAGCGUGGGGAGCAAAACGG
rnacentral:rRNA from 1 species